rnacentral:misc_RNA from 1 species
UUUCCAUAGGUGAACCUGCGGAAGGAUCAUUAAUGAGAACUAAGGGUAGUAGUCUCGGCUACUACUCUGAACACUCCACCCUUUGUUUAUAUUACCUUUGUUGCUUUAGCAGGCCCGCUCUCGGGCCGCCGGCACCUGCUGGCCAGUGCCUGCUAGAGGACCUAAAACUCUUGUUAAUAAUAUUGUCUGAGUACUAUAUAAUAGUUAAAACUUUCAACAACGGAUCUCUUGGUUCUG